rnacentral:pre_miRNA from 1 species
UUAUUACUCCCUCCGUCCGAAAAUACUUGUCGAAGAAAUGGAUAUAAAUGGAUGUAUUUAGAACUAAAAUAUAUCUAGAUACAUCCAUUUUUAGGACAAGUAUUUUCGGACGGAGGGAGUAGAUC